AUUUGCCUUUGAAUAGAAAAACUCAAAUAUGGAGAGAAGAAAAAAAAAAUAAUAAUUAAAAGUAAUAAUAAUAAUUCAGUUAACCUGCACAGCGAUACCCAGGGUUGUGAGAACAGCCCAGUGAUUUUUGAGAACUGGUCAACUCGUGAGCCUGAGAUUUGGGAUCACCAUCUCACAGUGGAACUUUACUGCAGUACGUGGAUGCUACAGUAACAAAGGACUGUGUGCAAUGGACUGUGAGCUUGCUGAAUUUCUUGAUUUAAAUGGCUAUCAAGUUUCUCAACAGAAAGAACAACCGAUCAAAGAGAAGGAAGCAACUUGCUGAACACCCAGAAUGCCAAUGCAGAGCUGCCUCCAAGCCAGCAGUGUGUGACUGCAUGGAGACUGCGUGUGCAAGUUGGUCAGACCUACAGGAGGAACCAUUGGACGAUGCUGAGGAGUCCUGGAUUCAUCGACGGAAGCAGUUUUGUGAAGACAAGGAAACCGUAAGGCAGGACAUGCAGUAACUGCUAUUGACAAGAUUCGCCCCUGGAACCAAGGUGGGUAGGUCUGUUCCAGGCGCUGCUAACAUCCCACACAACAGUGAAAGCAUUGUGGAUACAUCAUACUAGAGUUAAGAAGGUCCAUCGAACACAAUGAGAACUGAAAUCAGCUGGACCCUUAAAAUUGUGAAUCCCAAGGACAGAAAUGUGAGCUCUUGUAACUGUUAGAAAUGUUGAUUUGAUGAGUGCAGCAUUUGAUGUAAAUACUUAUGUAUCUCUUGUGACAAACAUUAUUACAUAUCAGUAUUGCUUGGUAUGUGGGCAAGCUAAGGAUUUAAACUUUUCUCUUCUUGUUGUUCCCGAUGAUUUUAAGGCAAGAAAUCAAACUGUUGCAGGGUUUGAGUCACUGUCCUGGUGGGUGAUAAUCAACAAGAAUGUAGAUUGGAUUAACUACAUCUGUUAUAAUCAAUGGAGAUUUACAAAUUAUACAAAGAGUGCAAUAAAGAGAACUGCAGGACAGUUAUAUGCCACAAGUAGGGUGGCCUGAUAAAACAGGAACUCCUAAGAUAUGAUAAAAGAGUGUAUAUGUAACGCUGGGUACCUGUUGUUGCACCUUCAUCCCAAUAACACAGCUCUGGAUGACGUAAUAACGAAGGCAUUGCAAGGGCUUGGUGCCACCCUUGUCAAUGAAGUGGCAAGAAAAAAAAAAUCAGGAAUAGAUACUUCUGUCACUGGAUGGUUGGAGUUCUGGUUUGGUAAAUGGAAAGGGGUGACUGUAUGCACAUUUACUUCUUUGAUAGUAGCAGCAGGAGUCUUGAUGGCCACUGGUUGCUGUGUUAUCCCCUUUCUGAGGGGACUAGUAGAGUGAUUGAUAAAGAGAGCACUAUUGAAGCAAGCACUAAAGGAGCCAUUACAUUUGGAUAAAAUUAUGGUAUUAGAGGAGAUGGGAGAUAAAGAAAGUGAAGACGAGGGCGAUGUCUAUAAAAGUGAACCUUAAAGAA